rnacentral:lncRNA from 1 species
AGGGUCAAAUCAGAGCUGCAGCUUCCAGCCUAUACCACAACAAUAGCAACACCAGAUCUGAACUGCAUCUGUGACCACCACAGCUUGUGGCAACCUGACACUGGAUCCUUAACCCACUAAGAGAGGCCAGGGAUUAAACCUGCAUCCUCAGGGAGUCCUUAACCCACUGAGCCACAGCAGGAAUCCCCCAGCUCCAGCUCUUUAAUCCCCUUUAUCAUUCAGGGGCAUUCUCCUUGAUCCAGCGCUCACAGUUUAGAUUCAGUUUUACGUCUGAUCCCUGGAGGACCCUCACACUAACACGAGGUGCUCCCAGGACAGUGCAAUAAAGAGGCCCACACCAGUGCCGGGCUGGGGGCCGUGCACACCUUGCUCAGCCUCAUGGUGCCAGUUGGGUACAACUCUUAUCAAAUGUGUAUUCAGUGACAUCACAUGGAAGGCUUGGAGCUUGCUACAGUGGAAGUGCUCACACCAUACAAAUCAGCCAAUGCUGCAGAUCAAGAUAAUCCCCCCCCCCCGGAGCCCCUCUAGCACACCGCUGUCCCCAAUGUCACAGCAGCUAGGAUUCUUAGGCAUUCUGGUCCACAAAGGCUAUUUCUGUUCUUCAAGGCGGUCGUGAUGCCUACAGCCACAGCCCAUCCUCCUGUUAUUAAUCUCCCAUCGACUUUCCUCCUAAUGUAGGAUAAAACCCCUGUGGCUUCACAUCCCAAGAGUUCAUCAUGCAGACACUUCUCUCCACCUGCUUGCUGGUAGCGUUUGUCUGUUCAAGUGCUUCUUGUCAUCCCUGUAUGCUUGAAAUUCUCUAGUAGCCAACAACACUCUGUAAUUUUGUAAUCAAUAAGAAAUUGUACUGGCAAGAAGACAAUUACAAUAAGUCAAAUUCAAAACGAUAUGCUCCGGAUGCAAUCCCCCCCCUCCUUUUUUUUUCAAUUUGAGUGAACACAUCUCAAAAAGGCUCGAGGAGACCAUUUGUAUUCAUAAUGAACAAAAAUGCUCUGGAAUCCAUGAUUUAGUUACAUCUGGGUGUGAGAUGAAAAGAAUCAAAAGCCAAAACGGUGAGAUUGGCCUGAGUAAAUAAAUAAAUAAAUGCACACAUGGAUUGGUUUCAAUAAAGAGCAUUCCUUGUAGACGUGGGGUAAGGAAUAAAAAUGUCCUCAGGGCUAGGAUAUACAUACAAACGACAACAAAAAUCAUACUAGAGGCUUUGAACUUGUGAUUUAUUAGCCAAGUGUAGGCAUCCAUUGUCUUCACUGCAGACUAAGUUUUCUAAUAUCGGAAUCAGAGCAUUGUUUGUGGGCGUAGUCACAUCAUGUGUAUGUGAUGUUUUUCCCGUGUGUGUUUGUGCAUGUGUGCAUAUAUGUGUAGGCGUGUCUUGUGUGUGUAUGCACCUACAGGUCUGUUUGCACAUUUGUGUGUACAAGGAGAUGUGUAUACGUUCUGUUGUUACGUAUCGUGUGCGUCUAUGUGAAAGUUGUGUGUCUAUGUGAAAGUUAUGUGCACCAAGGCACUUAGUAAGUGUUCAAUAAAAGGGAAUUUAUUUCCUUCUUCCGUUUUAGUUUUGAGAGGCUACGGAAGAGCAAGGUACCCGCACUGCCUUGCUGAGUAUAUUCAUUAUUAAAGAAGAGAGAUUGCCUUCUAGUGUUUCUGUAAGUGAACGCUAAUGCAUUAAAAGUUGAAAAUAAAUAAAACAGGCAGACAAAAAGACAAGGCAGAAUUCACAGUGGAAACAUCUCCAGUGAACCUUGUACAACUGGAGUGUGGUCGUGAGGGGAGUGCGGGGGUUGCUGUUUGGGAGGCAGGGAAGCAAUUACACUGGGAGCUGCAAAAUGACGGGGAGUGUCUAGGACAUCACCCUGGACCCGUGAGUGGGGGCGCCAUUACCAAGAAACCAUUUUUAGGCACAAGGAAGAUUUUCCAAAUCCUCACUUUGUGCUACGAGAGCCACAUGAUCCAGGGCAUAAACACUGAAGAACAUCCAAGUGGUACCCAGCUUCUUGGAUUUAGUUCCUUCCAUCAGAUCGAGGUGGGGGGCGGGGGGGGGAGGUUGCUUGACAAAUUGCCUUGGAUUUAUUUUUCCUCAUUUAUAUUAUAUUACAUAGGAUUGGAACACAACUCAAUGAGCAGACAGCAUGAUAGUCCGCAUAUUUAAUAUGAUUUCUGCUACAGGCAAAAUAGUACCAGAUAAAGCAUUCAUAUUUUUACGAUAGGUAAAUAAUCCUGUAGUGUCACAGAUGAACAUGCGACCAGCAGGCAUCCUCUAUUUAAGAAAACGCCUUUAUUUUUGUACCUUAUUACAGGAGAGAUAUUGCUUCAUUGGUACCUGUACUCCUACAGCGAUAGAAAAUAAACAAUUCAUGCGAGCACACACAGGCUCACACACAGCGCGCGCACCUGAGUGAUCUUGAAUAUUAUUUUGUGAACCAGGAUGCGCUCAGGAAUCACUCAGGGAUCUUGUUACAAUGUAGAUUCUGCUUCUCUAGCUCUGGGGGAGGGGGUGCCUGUGACUCUGCAUUUCUCACAAACCUCACCUGAACUUGAGCUCGGACCAUGAUCCUUGGACUCUACUUUGAACCUCCGCUUCUUCAUCAGCAACACGUAGAUGCUAGUGUUUCAUGAUGCCACGAGGGUUACACCAGACAAUGCUCAGAGAAGCCCCAGCGAGCAUCUGGCACGCACUAUGUUCCAUCAAUGGACACAGUUACAACUAUUAUGAAUAACGUGCUCACGGAACCAGUGCAGACAUUAACCACCUGAAGGGAACAAGGUAACAUCAAUUAGAGGCAUGUGGUUCCAUCCCCCUUCUACACCCUACAGCUAAUGGCCACGUUGCAGAGUUACUUAGCCCUGCAAAUUCCAGCUGCUGUGCAUUGUGUAUUCGACCGCCCUCCUCAAAAAUAAUAACACAGUUGGGAAAGAAAGAAAGGGAGAGAAUCUGUUUGCCUUAGAAAGUUUCCACAGCUCAGCAGCACGUACUGGCUGGUAACUUCAUUUCCCAGGGCCUGGCGGAGGCCGUAAUCCAUGAAAAUGGAGCACAAGUCCUUGCAUGAUGUACUUUGCUGUAAGCCGCUAAGAUUCACUUGCAGCUCUGCGUGAGACCCCUGAGUUCUCUUUGAUAAGUUGCCCGACCCGAGAAAGCUGAAAAUGUGUCCAUUAUUGUGGGGGCUGCCAGGAGGAGAUGGUUUUAGAAGUAGAGAGGGUGGUAGAUCAGGGAUCCUGGGGUGUGGAGCGUGCCUCCCGACCUCGUUUGUUGGAAGAGGAGAGCCCGAGUUGGUUUUACAAAGUGCUCAGAGCCCUGGCGAGGCAGGCUAAGAGGCGAUUUGGGUUGCCUUCCACCCAGUGCCUGCGGGUGAGGUGAUCAGGGCGUUAGGAAGGGUUUUAGCACCUGUGGAAAUGGGGGAGCCAGCACCAGGCAACUCUCCCUCUCCCCUGCAGAGGAAAGAGCACCCUGGUGCUCAGACGGCAAAGCCAGGGAAAGAAUAAUGUGGAGUGCAGACGGGGCCACGGGAGGCUAGCCCUCGCAGCCCCUGCGUCGGAGAGGAUGAAAUGUUUCUGCUUUUCUGGAGGGCAAUUUGGCACUCCUUUUCAAAACCUUUAAACUGGUGCCUACCUUGGACCCCGCAGACCUGCAUCUGGAAAAUUAUCCCAAGGAAACAACAUAAAUGUGUGGAAUAUUUUAGCCUUAGGGUGCCACGCCUGGAACUGGGACACAGGGUUUUUGUUUUUGUUUUGUUUUGUUUUGUAAUUUUGAUUGGUGGGGGUAGCUGAAAACAAAACUAAACCAACAACAACAGCAAUACAGAGACAAAGCGCGCGCGCGCACACACACACACACACACACACACACACACACGAAUGAUCUCUUUUCAAAGCUCCAGGCAGUUUUCUCUCUCAAAGAGCAGGAGGCUGGAGUUGGCCUUUGGUGGAGGCUGUAAUAUUGUUUGGAAGCAAAUCCCCUUUCAUGGGAAGAAUAUUAAGCAAAGCUUCUCCCCAGUAUUCCCAGGCAAAUUUGAGAAGGCAGGUGUGUUAGAUUCAAAAGUUAAGUGCCCUGCUUGGUUAUGUAAAUUGUUAAAUGCACUUUUAAAAAAAAAAAUCCAGAACUGUAUUUCUGCAGACUGGGAUGCUCCUCUAUAAAUAGCCCAGUGUCUCUACUGGAUAAGGAUUCAAGCUGGUUACAAUUUGCCUGGAAAGAAUGGCCAUUUAGCCAUGCAUUAUUCCAAUGGUGGGGCAGGCAGGGGCUGCAUAUAUAGCUCGAGGAAUUGCCCUCAGUUUGCUUAUAAUCUAGUGGUCUGAGAGAGGGAAUUAGCACAGACAAGAAUAAGUAGGUAAAGAGAUGUAAGCAUGCAUAAUACUACUAAGUCCAACGUAGAGGUUACUACGAUAGAAAGUAUUGGGAAUAAGCUCAUAACGUAGGAUGGUUUCCGAGGGCCCCACUAAAGAGGUGGCCAGGGAAUGAAGGAAGAGCAACCCAGUGGCCAUCACAGGGGGCGAUGUCGCUGUGAACACCUAGGUGGAAGCAUGGGAGAUUGUAUUUUGGAUGGGUAUCAGAAGUCAGCUUCGUAGGCUUGUGAGAAUGACACAGUAGAGAGGAAGAAAUUGAUGGCUCUGCACAGAAUAAAAAAAUCUGAAGGAGCA